CAGGGAUGGGUGUGUUUUGUUGUUGAGUUUGACAUGAUGUACAAUUGAUGAUUUCCGAACUAUAUUCCACUACGAACUACUUAUUCAAAAAUAAAUGUUGUCACCAAAUGCUUUGAAAAAAAGAACACAAAUACAAUCAUAAACGCUUAUUAUAUGUUUUGUUCCCUCACAAAAUGACGCGAUCAUACUGUUUUACCCGUGUCCAUUUGGCCGCCUGUCCCUCAC
rnacentral:lncRNA from 1 species